AGCCUGAUCGGCCGUAGCAGCCGCUGCCGCGGCGACUCCGCAGCUCCAGGCCCCUUUCCCGUUCCCUGUUCCCCUCCUUUUCUCUCUCCCUCUCACACACUCACACACACUCACACACACGCGCGCGCACGCGCGCGCACACACACUCACUCGCAGGCAGAAGCUGCUGCCCCGCAUUCCUCCCCCUCCUCCCGCGCUGCCCCCAGACGCCCCCGCUCUCCUUCCGGGGGCCCCCCUUCCUUUCUUUUCCCCUCCCCCGUACAAGCCCACCCUGCUCGGGGUCGCCGCGGCGGCCCCACCCCCUCGGGUGCUCAGGCCGCCUCCUCCGGGCAGCUCCCGGUCGGUCUCCCGCAGCGCUGCCCAGUGGGCCCGGGAUCCUCGGCGGAGGCCCUGCAGCUCUCACGACACUGGGAGACGCGGCAGAGCCGGGGGAUCCCCGGACUGCCGCCGCUACCCGGCCUUCACCACACCCCCUCGUCCUCGUCCUGUCCCGUCCCCGCGGGUCCAGGCCCGCUCCGGGAGGCCUCUCCCACGCCCCGCCUGCUCGCUCCCGCCGCCACCUCCCCCGGGCCUGAGCUCCGGCUCCCAUGCCCCCACCCCCACCCGCGGCCCCGGGGGAGGGCUCCUGCGCCGCCCGCCUGGCCUCGCCCGGACGAGGCCUCCCCUUCCUACCUCCAGAGGGCCGCUCACUCCGGCCGGGGCUGUGCGGGGCGCGAGCGGGGUCAGCGUCGCCAGGCCUGGGCCCGGCGACCGCUUCCCAUGAAGCCCCGGCCGCGUCUUCCGCGGGGGCCGCGCGCGGAGGCCCCGCUCCGCCGCGGGGACGACGAGCCGCCACCGGCGGCCUCGACCACGGCCUCCCCGGGAAGGACGACGAUAAGAGCCAAGCGCCGGAGGCCGGGAGAGCCGGGGCGGGAGGCGCGCCCGCCCCUCGAACGACGGCCCACGGCGAGGGGGCGGCGGACGCAGGCGGGACGAGGGCUGGACCACGCUCCUAGGGGGCCGUCUGGCCGCAGACUCCGCGGCGGCGCCUCCUCGCCUGGGGCUCCCGAUCCAUAG
rnacentral:lncRNA from 1 species